rfam:Nippostrongylus brasiliensis genome assembly, scaffold: NBR_scaffold0000486
UUAUCGGUAGCACAGCGGUCAGUGCAGUCUGCCGGCAACAGAAAGACGCGGGUUCAAUUCACGUCCGUUAUC